rnacentral:lncRNA from 1 species
CAAGAUAGAUAAAUAUUUUUUUUGAUGAGAACACAGUACAACGCAGACGCUCACAACACACGCACACUCUCCCUUAAGAACGCACGUGUGCAAACCUCCCUAUGAGCACCUUCGAAGACUGGCCGAUAAAUCUAGAGAAACCCCAAAGUCGCCACGGGUGCCUUGUUGUGACCUCAGGUGCUACUAAGACCUUAUGUAACCACUAGGCUACAG